UAAUACGGAGGGUGCGAGCGUUAAUCGGAAUUACUGGGCGUAAAGCGUGCGUAGGUGGCUUAGUAAGUCGGAUGUGAAAGCCCUGGGCUCAACCUGGGAACUGCAUUCGAUACUGCCAGGCUAGAGUAUGGUAGAGGGAAGUGGAAUUUCCGGUGUAGCGGUGAAAUGCGUAGAUAUCGGAAGGAACACCAGUGGCGAAGGCGGCUUCCUGGACCAAUACUGACACUGAGGUACGAAAGCGUGGGGAGCAAACAGGAUUAGAUACCCUGGUAGUCCACGCCCUAAACGAUGUCAACUAGCCGUUGGGGGAAUUUAAUCCUUUAGUGGCGCAGCUAACGCGUUAAGUUGACCGCCUGGGGAGUACGAUCGCAAGAUUA
rnacentral:rRNA from 1 species